UACGUAGGGUGCAAGCGUUUAAUCGGAAUUACUGGGCGUAAAGAGCUCGUAGGCGGCCUGUUGCGUCCGCUGUGAAAGCCCGGGGCUUAACCCCGGGUCGGCAGUGGAUACGGGCAGGCUAGAGGUAGGUAGGGGAGAAUGGAAUUCCCGGUGUAGCGGUGAAAUGCGCAGAUAUCGGGAGGAACACCGGUGGCGAAGGCGAUCACCUGGGGUUGUUCUGACGCUGAGGAGCGAAAGCUAGGGGAGCAAACAGG
rnacentral:rRNA from 1 species